AUUGAACGCUGGCGGCAGGCCUAACACAUGCAAGUCGAGCGGCAGCGGGAGAAAGCUUGCUUUCUUGCCGGCGCGCGGCGGACGGGUGAGUAAGGUAUGGGGAUCUGGCCGAAGGCGGGGGAUAACCACUGGAAACGGUGGCUAAUACCGCAUAAUCCCUAAGGAGCAAAGUGGGGGACCUUCUGGCCUCACACCUUCGCAUGAACCCAUAUGAGAUUAGCUAGUAGGUGGGGUAAAGGCUCACCUAGGCGACGGUCUCUAGCUGGUCUGAGGGGAUGAUCAGCACACUGGGACUGAGACACGGCCCAGACUCCGACGGGAGGCAGCAGUGGGGAAUAUUGCACAAUGGGCGCAAGCCUGAUGCAGCCAUGCCGCGUGUAUGAAGAAGGCCUUCGGGUUGUAAAGUACUUUCAGUCGUGAGGAAGGUGUUAGGGUUAAUAACCUUAGCAAUUGACGUUAGCGACAGAAGAAGCACCGGCUAACUCCGUGCCAGCAGCCGCGGUAA
rnacentral:rRNA from 1 species